rnacentral:rRNA from 1 species
UUAAAUUGAAGAGUUUGAUCAUGGCUCAGAUUGAACGCUGGCGGCAGGCUUAACACAUGCAAGUCGAACGGUAACAUGAGUGCUUGCACUUGAUGACGAGUGGCGGACGGGUGAGUAAU